UCCGAAGAAACUGCACAUGAAGCAUAUGUCUUCUCCACAAGUUCACCUAUCGGAAAGGGGGCAAAGCAACUUUCGUCAACCUCCAAAGUAAUAUGAAAGUGUUGAAGAUGAGGAAAUUUCGGCACAAAGAUCGACCAUGCGCGAUCUCUCCUUCCUCAGAAAAUUAUUCAGCUACUCGGUCAAGGCUUAUUGCUACAAAGAUUGCGAGGAACGCCUCUCCAGGCAGCAACCAUCUCUUCCAUAAGUUCACCAAUGGGAAAGGGGGCAAAGCAGCUCCUGUCAACCUCCAGAACAAUGUGAAAGUAUUGGAGAUAAUGAAA
rnacentral:lncRNA from 1 species